rnacentral:rRNA from 1 species
GACGAACGCUGGCGGCGUGCUUAACACAUGCAAGUCGAGCGGUAAGGCCCUUUCGGGGGUACACGAGCGGCGAACGGGUGAGUAACACGUGGGUGACCUGCCUUUAGCUCUGGGAUAAGCCUGGGAAACUGGGUCUAAUACCGGAUAUGACUCCGCGGUGCAUGCUGUGGGGUGGAAAGCCUUGUGCGGCUGGAGAUGGGCCCGCGGCCUAUCAGCUUGUUGGUGGGGUNAUGGCCUACCAAGGCGACGACGGGUAGCCGGCCUGAGAGGACGAUCAGCCACACUGGCACUGCGACACGGGCCAGACUCCUACGGGAGGCAGCAGUAAGGAAUAUUGCGCAAUGGGCGAAAGCCUGACGCAGCGACGCCGCGU